rnacentral:rRNA from 1 species
AGGACGAACGCUGGCGGCGUGCUUAACACAUGCAAGUCGAGCGGAAAGGCCCUUCGGGGUACUCGAGCGGCGAACGGGUGAGUAACACGUGAGCAAUCUGCCCUUAGCUUCGGGAUAGCCCCGGGAAACCGGGAUUAAUACCGAAUAUGACCUCGGCCGACAUCGGCCUUGGUGGAAAGUUUUUCGGCUAGGGAUGAACUCGCGGCCUAUCAGCUUGUUGGUGGGGUAAUGGCCUACCAAGGCGACGACGGGUAGCCGGCCUGAGAGGGCGACCGGCCACACUGGGACUGAGACACGGCCCAGACUCCUACGGGAGGCAGCAGUGGGGAAUAUUGCGCAAUGGGCGAAAGCCUGACGCAGCGACGCCGCGUGGGGGAUGAAGGCCUUCGGGUUGUAAACCCCUUUCAGCAGGGACGAAGGCGAGAGUGACGGUACCUGCAGAAGAAGCGCCGGCUAACUACGCGCCAGCAGCCGC